rnacentral:rRNA from 1 species
GUCAGCAGCCAUGUCACUCUGCAACUCACAACUGGCAGCCCAAUGAAGCUAAGCAGGUGUGAGCCUGGUCAGUACCUGGAUGGAGACCUCCUGGGAAAAACUAAGGCUGCUUACC